rnacentral:pre_miRNA from 1 species
AAUAUACUCCCUCCGUUCUGAAUUACUUGUCUUAGAUUUGUCUAGAUACGGAUGUAUCUAGCACUAAAAUGAAUCUAGAUACGGAUGUAUCUAGACAAAUCCAAGACAAGUAAUUCGGAACGGAGGGAGUAGAAA